ensembl:misc_RNA Metazoa_SRP Metazoan signal recognition particle RNA
GCCAGGCGUGGUGGCGUGUGCCUGUAAUCCCAGCUACUCAGGAGGCUGAGACAGGAGAAUCACUUGAACCUGGGAGGCGGAGGGUGCAGUGAGCUGAGAUUGCACCACUGCACUCCAGCCUGGGCGACAGAGUGAGACUCUGUCUCAA